rnacentral:rRNA from 1 species
AACGAACGCUGGCGGCAUGCCUAACACAUGCAAGUCGAACGAACCCUUCGGGGUUAGUGGCGCACGGGUGCGUAACGCGUGGGAAUCUGCCCUUUGCUUCGGAAUAACAGUUAGAAAUGACUGCUAAUACCGGAUGAUGUCUUCGGACCAAAGAUUUAUCGGCAAGGGAUGAGCCCGCUUAGGAUUAGGUAGUUGGUGGGGUAAAGGCCUACCAAGCCGACGAUCCUUAGCUGGUCUGAGAGUAUGAUCAGCCACACUGGGACUGAGACACGGCCCAGACUCCUACGGUGGGCAGCAGUUGGGAAUAUUGGACAAUGGGCGCAAGCCUGAUCCAGCAAUGCCGCGUGAGUGAUGAAGGCCUUCGGGUCGUAAAGCUCUUUUACCAGGGAUGAUAAUGACAGUACCUGGAGAAUAAGCUCCGGCUAACUCCGUGCCAGCCGCCGCUGUAACAC